CCUCACAGCUAUCUCAAGAGGGAAUUUUCUUGUCUCCAUCUUGCAGGUUUAGAAACAUAGUCACCGAAAGAUUGAAUGACCUGCCCAAGAUCUUCACUCUAGUAAAUUGAAGUGUUGCGAUUUUCUGAAUCCACUUCCAGAAACUGUAUUCUCUGCCACCGAAUCUACACUAUCUUUUUUACAUAGAGUACUUAUUCUGAAUAUUUAAUCAGAAAUGCUCUACUGCUGAUUUUUUUUUCAUUAUUCUUUAUUUGGAAAAAAAUAGAAAGAUCAAGUAAAUUUUGGUAAAUGGAUAUUUUUCUGUACAUAAUAUCCAAAGCUUGGAUGGGCUUUCACGUAAUGAACUAUUUAGGCAUUUGUUUUUCUGGACUUUUAUUUAGAGUCGGAUCAAAAUUUCAGUGGGUUGCUUCCCACCCUGUUUUAAAUUGGGUUACGGUAUAACUUUGGAGAGAAUGACUACACUGUUUUAGAAAUAAACCUUUCUUUUUUACAGACUAGCAGUAUUUCACUGAAGUGUACAUCUGUUGUGAAGAAGGAGUGCAGCUGGAAAAAAUAGAGUGUCAACUGUAUUUUCUGUACCCUGCUCUAGACUGCAGUGCUGGACAGGGGGCUGCCCUGAGCCCGCACUGCAGCUGUAAAGCUCCCUGCUUGCGUUCUCUGGACCGCCUGCAUUCCCGCCGCCGAGGAGCAGCUGUGUGAUUUUUUUUUUUUUUUUUUUUUUGCCGGGCCAGGGCUGCCCUGGGUGAAUGCUCUUCGUCAAGUUCCUUCUUAAACAGUGGUCAAGCAUUCUUCUGGUGCAUCUAUUAUUUCCAGGUCCUUUAUUACAGGUACUGACGGUGUAAUCUCAGCAGCAUAGGUUCGCCCAGCAGGGCUUCGGGAUGCUUCCCUGACUCUCCCCGACUUUCACACCAACGCCCUCCGGGAAUGAUUCCAGUGGGUGUCAAGUCCAUUCUCUGAUGAACAGACUCGCGCUUUGAGAGCAUCUUCAGGGUCAGCGCAUCCAGGGACCAUUGGCACCAUUUUCCUCGAGCGCCACCGCCUGGCCAAAACGGGAACGACCUGUGCCCACUGCUGAGGAGGACAAACACCCGAGAUGGAAUUUCUAGUGUUUGUACAAUCCUCGUCCUUUUCCAUUUUCUGUAAAGUGACGAUGACAGAUAUUUUCGCUUACGACUGCAAGUAUUUUCCCUCUGAAUAAAUAUACCAUUUUUUUUCUGGCAA